rnacentral:rRNA from 1 species
AACGAACGCUGGCGGCAUGCCUAACACAUGCAAGUCGAACGAAGCCUUCGGGCUUAGUGGCGCACGGGUGCGUAACGCGUGGGAAUCUGCCCUUGGGUUCGGAAUAACAGUUAGAAAUGACUGCUAAUACCGGAUGAUGUCUUCGGCCCAAAGAUUUAUCGCCCAAGGAUGAUCCCGCGUCGGAUUAGCUAGUUGGGGAGGUAAAGGCUCACCAAGGCGACGAUCCGUAGCUGGGCUGAGAGGAUGAUCAGCCAUACUGGGACUGAGACACGGCCCAGACUCCUACGGGAGGCAGCAGUGGGGAAUAUUGGACAAUGGUCGAAAGUCUGAUCCGGCACUGCCGCGUGAGUGAUGAAGGCCUUAGGGUUGUAAAGCUCUUUUACCCGGGAUGAUAAAGACAGUACCGGGAGAAUAAGCCCCGGCUAACUCCGUGCCAGCCGCCGCGGUAAUAC